UACGUAGGGGGCAAGCGUUGUCCGGAAUCAUUGGGCGUAAAGCGCGUGUAGGCGGCCUUGUAAGUCCGUUCUGAAAGUCCGGGGCUCAACCCCGGGAGGCGGAUGGAUACUGCAAGGCUCGAGUCCGGAAGAGGCAAGUGGAAUUCCCGGUGUAGCGGUGAAAUGCGCAGAUAUCGGGAGGAACACCAGUGGCGAAGGCGACACGCUGGGCCGUACCUGACACUGAUGCGCGACAGCAUGGGGAGCAAACAGG
rnacentral:rRNA from 1 species